GUUUAGAGACCUGAUUUGAAGGAUUCGAUUUCGACUCGAAACAAAAACAAGUUAUUUGUUUUCUAGAUU
rnacentral:tRNA from 1 species